rnacentral:rRNA from 1 species
GAUGAACGCUAGCGGCAGGCUUAAUACAUGCAAGUCGAGGGGCAGCACGGUUAGCAAUAACUGGUGGCGACCGGCGCACGGGUGCGUAACACGUAUACAAUCUACCUUAAACAGGGGGAUAGCCUUUCGAAAGAGAGAUUAAUACCCCGUAAUAAAUUGAACGGCAUCGUUUGAUUUUGAAAGCUCCGGCGGUUUGAGAUGAGUAUGCGUCUGAUUAGCUAGUUGGUGAGGUAACGGCUCACCAAGGCGACGAUCAGUAGGGGAUCUGAGAGGACUAACCCCCACACUGGUACUGAGACACGGACCAGACUCCUACGGGAGGCAGCAGUAAGGAAUAUUGGUCAACGGAGGCAACUCUGAACCAGCCAUGCCGCGUGCAGGAUGACGGCCCUAUGGGUUGUAAACUGCUUUUAUACAAGAGAAAACCCUGGUACGUGUACCAGGUUGAUAGUAUUGUAAGAAUAAGCAUCGGCUAACUUCGUGCCAGCAGCCGCGGUAAU